rnacentral:tRNA from 1 species
CAGGGAGACAACAACUGAUUUUGAUGUCUGAGUCAUUUAUUCUCAGGCCGAAAUCCUGUCAUCUCGAAGGUCGAUCGGUACCUCAACUUGAGGGUCUAGAGAAUUUAUUCUGCUAGGUCAAUUCAAUUUCAGUUCCUAAACUUUGUCUAGGUCACCCACUAAGGUACAUAACUCCUGGGCCAUUAGCUCAGGUGGUUAGAGCGCACCCCUGAUAAGGGUGAGGUCCCUGGUUCAAGUCCAGGAUGGCCCAUUCGUGUUUGGGGGUUUAGCUCAGUUGGUAGAGCGCCUGCUUUGCAAGCAGGAUGUCAGCGGUUCGAGUCCGCUAACCUCCAUCCAACAGGAGGCCCCUUGGUUCGAAUUCUGAAAGGAGUUCCUGGUGAGGUGACAGAGAUUAAAAUCGGAACUGGCAUCAAACGAUGACCAGGAAAGCAACGCUGAGUCACAAGACUCCAGCCUCGUUUCAUUCCAGAGUUGAUGAUCUAACAAGAGAUCAACCGGUUGAAACGAUGCUGGACUCAAGGCUUUUAACCAAAGCCUUAAGUUUCAGCAGAACCUUGACAACUGCAUAGGUAAGUCUGGAAAUAAAGCAUCUCAUGGAUGCCCAGACGCGAAAGAGAUCAAGUGAGGGUGAAUAGCCUGAGCUUGAAAUUUUUGUGUGUUUGGGAAAAUUCUAUUGAGUUUUUAGAGCCGAGAAAUCCAAUGGUUCUUUUCAGCCAUCCAAGUUAACUGCGUGGAGGGCUAGAAGAGUUUGAUCCUGGCAUUCAAGUCUGAUUGAGCUGACCUGAAAAGGUGAGUUUGAGAUGAUACUGAAUCUAGAGAGAAUGGGCCUCAACAGCCUGAAGCCAUUGGAGGAUAAUUU